CCCAUGCAGUUCAUCGAGCAUGAAUGGGAUAUGUAGGAAAGUUAAAUCAAAAUUGGGAGUGAUGCCCCACCCAAAAAAGAGAACACCGAAACCGAAAAUUGAUUAGUAGUGUGCCUAUUCACUGGCAGUCAAAGUAGGGAGUAGCUAUGGACCACAGCAUAGGGCUUCUGUGAGU
rnacentral:sRNA from 1 species